AGUGAACGCUGGCGGUAUGCCUAACACAUGCAAGUCGAACGGCAGCACAGUAAGUUCUUGCUCUUACGGGUUGCGAGUCGCGUACGUUUGACGUAUACAUCGGACUCUACUUUUUCGUGUGCCAUAACGUAGCUAAACUUACUCUAAUACCGCAUUCGACCUACCGGUGAAAGCAUUUGUUCUUCUGACCUUUCGCGUUUGUUUGAGCCGAUGUCGGAUUAGCGAGUUGGCUGGGUAAAGCCCCACCAAGGCGACGAUCCGUAGCUGGUCUGAGAGGAUGAUCAGCCACACGGGAAGUGAGACACGGACCAGACUACUACGGGAGGCAGCAGUGGGGAAUAUUGGACAAUGGGCGAAAGCCUGAUCCAGCAAUACCGAGUGGGUGAAGAAGGCCUUCGGGUUGUAAAGCCCUUUUGUUGGGAAAGAAAAGCAGGAGGUUAAUACGAAGGUGGAAUGACGGUACCGAAAGAAUAAGCACCGGCUAACUACGUG
rnacentral:rRNA from 1 species